GGGGAAGUAGCUCAACUGGCAGAGCAUCGGCUUUGCAAGCCGGGGGUUGGCGGUUCGAGUCCGCUCUUCUCCA
rfam:Candidatus Hydrogenedentes bacterium CG1_02_42_14 cg1_0.2_scaffold_3431_c, whole genome shotgun sequence.